UAAUAAGUGUUUUAUGGCACUUUUUAAAUCCAUAUCCACCUUGUGUGCAAUGUCGGUCGAUCUUCUUUUUUGAGGAUCGACCAAACAUCAACCCUUAUUUUUUAACUCUUUGUCUGAAAAAUAUUAUGAAUAAACAAUUCAAAAUA
rnacentral:misc_RNA from 1 species